GACAGAGGGUGCAAACGUUGUUCGGAAUUACUGGGCGUAAAGCGCGUGUAGGCUGCUCGGAAAGUCGGAUGUGAAAGCCCUGGGCUUAACCUAGGAAGUGCAUUCGAAACUUCCGAGCUGGAGUUCUGGAGAGGAAGGCGGAAUUCUCGGUGUAGAGGUGAAAUUCGUAGAUAUCGAGAGGAACACCGGUGGCGAAGGCGGCUAUCUGGACAGUGACUGACGCUGAGACGCGAAAGCGUGGGGAGCAAACAGG
rnacentral:rRNA from 1 species